AUAGUUAUUCCAGUAAGAGGAUAUUAAGCUCCCUCGAACAGGCCCUGUAUAUCUAACAGGCUCUGGCCUCCAGCCUCCCUGACACAGCUUUGUUACGCUGCAGCACACCCCUGGCCUCCUAGCAACUCCAAGAAGGGAGAGGAGGGAUGGGGGAGGUAGGGAUAAUCUGGUGUCAUUAAACACACAGGCCUUUGUGGAGGUUACUGUACACCAACAGCAGGAAGCUUUUUCUUCCUUCUGAGAGCAUAGGGAGCCUAUAUGAUUUUGCUUUGUUUUUUUUUUUUUUUUCUACCCCUGUACUCUUGGCUGUUUUACCUCCAGAGCUGCUGGUGAUAAGUUCGUAAAGGAGGACCUCCUUAAACCAUUUGUUAAACCAUAUGAGACUGUUCCUAGUACUUGUUUUAAACUAUUUUACAUUAUUUUUAAUGUAAUAAACACAUUUAUAAUACUA
rnacentral:lncRNA from 1 species